GGAUGAUAGCGCGGUUUAAACGCGGUUUAAACCGGGUCGCAGCAGGUUAAGCCGAGCCUCAGGCGCGGUCCCUUGGUGCCUUUGUCACUUUAGGACACGAAACAACACGAUGCGGACUCGCUGCUCUUUCCAAGGGCCUGGUGAGAACAACUCUUGAAAGGAGAUUUGCCCAACAAACUAAUGAGAAGUGGACGAGAGCAUCAACGAGGAGCGUGAGCCACAAUCAGGAGCUGCAGAGACCCCGCCAAAAUGCUGGUUUUUACCAAUAUCACUGAACGGGAGGUGCCUGGGCUUGUCUGGGCCCUGCUGCUGAACCAAACAGUGGCACCUGUGGUGUUUUCCCCCCAGAGACACCUUUGGCUAGCUGUGGGUUGUAGCUGGACAACCUGGGGCAAGCUUGGACGUGUCCGAGCUCCGGUGGUGGUGGGACAGAACUUCCUCUCUCAUGGAGGGUUGCUCCCCAGGUUUCCCUGAUGGAGAAGCUUUAACAUGAAUGGUGAAGGAAGGAGUCAGUCCUGAUGGAGGGUUUAAUCCAGAGUUUUUAUCCUGGGCUGCAUGGCCCCUGAAUGUAGCAACAGCUCUGCCACAGCCUCCUCCCACAGGGAUGCUCCAGCACCCCCGAGCUCAGGAGGGCUCAAACCCUCCCAAAAUGAGCUGGUUCAGAGUUUUACCACGUCGUCUUCAGCAGAAGUGUUGUUGCUAAAGAUAAAGCUCUUUCUGAGCAGCAGCAAGCCUCCUGUUCUCCUUGCAGGGAGAUGGCAGCUGAGAUUGGCAGGGCCGGCAGGAUUAAGCAUCCCUCUGUUGCAAAUUUCCUGCCAGGCAGAGCAAAGAAAAAUGAGAUCCCGAGGGUGGAAGGGCAGUGUUCCUGCACAAGAAUUCUCUCCACUGCAGCCAGGCACUAAUUAGGGGAGCAGCUGAACCCUGGGUGUUGUCAGAAGAUGAAUAUUAAACCGGCCAAACUCACGUGCACACAACGAGGUGCCUUAAACCUGACAGCCACACGCUGAUAAAACAAAACAGGGAGGGGAAAAAAGGCCAAAAGGAUGGGCAGCAACACAGGGCAGGACUCUGGCCUUUUGUCUGGGUGUUCACAUGGAAAUUUGGAUGAAAAAUGAAGAUCCUGUUAAGGAAUGCUUUAAUUCUUUUAUCACGAGGGAGCACUGAAAAGUGUCUCGCUCUUCACUUGAAAGCAGAUGCUCACUGGAAAGGAGCAUUUUGUCAGGAACGGUUUAGAACAAUGUGGAUUCAGAGGCAAAUUUGCUCACCUCUCUGCUGAAACAUCUUCAAGGCCUUUUUUCAAGGACUGCAAAUGUCUUGCAGAGGGAUCUUUUCCAGAAGUGCCACGGUGCAUGAAGCUCUGCCUGAGCUCAUCCAGAUCCACUGGUAGAUCUCCCUGUCAGAGUCGAACUUUGGAGAAGAAUCCUUUGGGACGAAAGGCACUGAAUAUUACCAUUAUUAUGUAUCAACUCCUGAAAUAAAAACCAGGUAUUCCAGCACUUUGGAGAAUUUUCUGUAGUGGCCUUUGAAGAAUCAUCUCCAGGGCAAAUCCUUCUCCAGCUGAAAUGCAGGAUUUACCACGCGAGGCUGCCCUUUGCUGGAGGGAGGAAUGUCUAGGAAAUGGACCUUGAAGCAAUAAGUAAAUGCAGCAGUUUCUCCUGGCGUGCAGCUGCUGAAGCAGUGAAAGACAGAGAAAUAUGAAGGACAGGCUGCUGUAACAUAUGAGCUCUGUCAACAAAAGAAAUGUCAUGUCAGCCUUGGAUGAACACCCUCAAAUCAACAGCGGCCACUGGAUUGACUCAGCUGGUGUCAGGAUGUCCUAUUAAGAGAUGGAUGACUUCAGAGGGAGAAUUUCUCAAUCCAUUUAUAUGAAGAAUUUGCCUCUAAAUUCAAAAGGAGGUUCUCAGCAGAAUUGCUUUAAAAUUUAUAGCCCAGCCUCUGUAUCUCUUUUGUUUCCCGCGUGAGGAGGAGGCAGGAAGGUGAAAUAUCCCCCUCGCUCUCCUGGCCAGACCCUCCACACGCCCUGCUCUGGGACCCAUCACUCUCCCUGUCCCUGUCCUGUCCCUUGCUCUGGUGCAGCCAGGACAGCCCAGGCUGACCAUAAUUCACUUUAUGGCUCUGUGCUCCACGCUGCUCUGGCCUGAGGCUCUGGGAGAUGCCAAUCUUUUGCCCACGAUGGUUUUUCUGCCCUGAAAGCUGCAGAAGGAGAAAAUAAUUUGCACUGGCAGAGAGGGAAGGAGGAUGGGGAAGUGCCACCUCUCUCUGACCCCUUGGAUUUUCAUUUUUUAAUUUUUUCCCCAACACCCCAGGUCACCAGAUGGGUUUUCCACUCUUCCACUGGUGAAAUUCAGCAGCAGCUAAAGGAAACAGGCUGAGUUCAUCUGAAAUCUGAGCUCACGCCUAAACCUGUGGCAUUUCUCCAUCCUUAUUUAAAUCCCUUGAGAGCUGGGCUU